AAAUUAAACAAAUGAACAUGUUCAUCAUGUGUGGAAUAACCACACAGACCGUAACCCUUUUUUUCUUUUAACUGAGACAAGGUCUGGCUCUAUUGCCCAGGCUGGAGGGCAGUGGCGCGAUCCUGACUUGCUGCAACUCCACCUCCUGGGCUCAAGCCAUCUUCUCCCACCUCAGCCUCCCAAGUAGCUGGGACUACAGGCAGGCACUACCAUGCCCAGCUAAUUUUUUUUUUUUAUUUUUUGCAGAGACAGAGUUUCGCCACGUCCAGGCUGGUCUUGAACUUGUGAGCUUAAGCGAUCCACCUGCCUCGGCCUCCAGAAGUGCUGGGAUUACACGCAAUUGAGCCACCGAGCCGGGCCAACAGAGUAACUAUUUCAAGAAUCGUCUGGGGGUUGCGGACUGGGUAGGAGGUCCUGGAAAAUUACGUGGACUGCUACUGGGAUUACUUCCACUGAAGAGGGUUGCCGGAUGCUGAUCUGCUGUCAAGCUGUAUUUCCUGUCCUGUGUCCUUCUAAGUGAACACGAUGCCACGCGUGGUCUACGGUAGUCUUUGCUCCAGCUCCCCAUUCACUGCUGUAUUUGGUGUGGAUGUCUCUGCAGUAUGAGCUAUUUUAAGGAGUCAGGGCUGGAAGAGACACUGAGAGAGCUUCUGGCCCCCAUUCAAGGACCUCCUCCUAAACACUUCUCUGUGAUGCAUGAAAAGGAGAUGACAAACCUCUGUGCAGGCAAGCUGGGGUGCAAAAAAGCAAGGACAAUAGCGAGCCCAUCCAGAGCUUAAAGGACGUUUAUGGAAUGUGUAUGACUCUGGAAAGAAGUACUAGUGAUGCGCAGACUGAAUGAAGAGGAAGGAACUAUAAAGGGCCCUUUUAGUCUCCUGCUUCUGGAAGUCUUAGGGUCUUACAAAUGGUAGUCAUAGCCAUCUUUCCCCUCUAUCUCCUAUACAUCUCCUGCCAGCCAUGCUGAUGCUACAGGGCCUCCCAAAGUGCCUGUCUGUUCACUCCUCUGGGCUUUGGUAUGUGCCAUUUCUUCUGCCUGGGAUGCCCUCCCUUCCACCCCUUCUGCACCUUGAAGUCCUUGAAGGUCCAAUGCCAGCAAUUCUUUCUCUUUGAAUCUUUCACUGAUCUUCCCCAAAUAAAGUUAAACACUUUCAACACUUCUCUGUCCUAAAACUUCACUUGCUGUAUACAAUUGUUUGUUCAAAUAUCUGCCUCAUCCUUAAGGGAUGGGAUUAUGCCUGUCAGCUCUAUUUCCUAGCCCCUGGGACAGAGUUACUCUUUUAAAUGUCUAUCCUAUAGAAAUAAAAAAUUAAUUAAUGGGC
rnacentral:lncRNA from 1 species